rnacentral:lncRNA from 1 species
UAUAUAGGUGCAUUAAAUUAAAUAACAUUAAUAUGGUGAUAUGACAAGGAACCCAUGUUAUCACAUGGAAGCAACUGCACCUGCAACUAGCAACGCUAUCAACAGGGUUAAGCAGGCAGUAACAUAGUCAAUCAGUGGUUUGCUAGGUCGAACAGGUUGAAGGUAUUCAUGACAUUGUUGAGAGGCUGAUAUUUAAUAUGUGGUAGGCAACGAGACAUAAUCGAUAGAAGCGAUAAAACUAGCAUGGCAAUGGUAGUAAUGGUAUCUGGGAAAAUGAUCAUCUUGCCUGAGAUCCCGCUUGGAAGAAGAAUGCCUCCGUGAAGCAGACGAACCGAUGUAGUCGAACGGGUCCUCACAAUCCGGCACGUUGCGGAACUCUAUCGAGACGAAGCAAACCGGAAACACAAAUCAACACCCGGAAUUCACCACACGAUGCACACCACAUAUGAUGCAUGAGCAGUUGAAUACAUGCAAGUCACGGCAUGACAAUUCACACAAUCAAACACUACACAUUAAGUGAACUACGAGCAAAACAAGAAAUCACUACAAUCUGCCAAAAUCAGCCACAUAGCAUUUUCUACACCCCGCAACUACGGGCUACACAACUCCGAUAAACUCAAACAAGGCAUGGCACGAAAGAGGGCAAGAAGCACUACUACAAACAACUAACAACAACUAGCAUGGCAUCAUGGAUCACUAGGGAAAGAAGACAUAAAAUGGCAU